rnacentral:lncRNA from 1 species
GGAAACUAUAGAUUAUGCAAUAAGAGACUUUUUUGAGCCCUUACUAUGCACAAGGUGUUGUGCCAGACUGAGCUAUUUUUGCUUUAUGGUAUUUUUUAAAAAAUCAAGGCACCUUCCAGAUUUCAACGAGGAUGCUGGCCAAAGGGCUCAAUUAUUACCGCUCAAAGGCAGUAACAGAACACACAGGUAAACAAAGGGCAACUGCCAUGACAAAUAUUAACGAUGCCAAAGUCAGCAUUUUCGCAAGGGUCGAAGCAAUAAAUCCUGCGGAGUCCAAGGUGGAUGGCACAGUGCUCCCUGCUGCACCGCUCGGGGGCUGGGAGACCAGAGCAGAAGUAAGUACCUUUGUCUCCCGACCAUGACCAACGCGUUGCUUAAAAACGCGAGGGGCGGCUGCGGGCUGGCUUCCCAGCAAAGCGAUGCAGCGCCCUCGGGAGAGCGGCGCUAGCCGGGUCGGCCGGCGCCGCGCUCCCCGCCUCCCCUCGGUGCAGAACACAGGUGUCCCACGUGGCUCCCGCCCGGGUGCGCCUCCCCGGGCUUGCAGCGCCCCCUGGCCCGAGCCGGGUCCCGCCGCGCGCUCCUCGCCGUGAGUUCAGCCGGCGUGGUCUCCGCGUCGCUGGAACCCCCUUCCUUCCCGGCGCUCGCACCGGAGGAGACGCCCCGCCCCCGGGCGCCCCUGCCCAGCGUGCAGAGACGGGGCGUCCGGCUUGGAUGCGGCGUCGGCGCGGCGGGUUUGGUUCGGCAUUGUCUGCGCUCCACCCGAGCACGCCGGCGGGGCCCGCACGCUUCUUCGGGAAGUCGGCGUCCCGGGCAGAAAGCACCUGGCGCGCCCCUCCUCGGGGUACCCCUCCUUCGGUCCCGGGGCGAGCCUGCGGGGGUCUUGGGAGCCACCGCGCUGCGGCCCCGGCAGCAGCCCCUCCGGUGGGUCCCCUGGGAACGCCAAGCAGAGCGGCUCGGACCGCAGAUGAGGAGACGGAGACCUAGGAAGGGUGGAAGACUGCCCGAGGGAGAACGGGACUGCCUGCCGGGAACCCUGGCUCCUGGUUCUGUGAUGAGCACAGUCAUUAACUGUUUUCCUGAUCUCCACUUGGGCACCUCUGCCCUUACCCAGAGGACUUCGGCACUGUUGGCUCCUGGGAUCCUGGCAAUAACCUUUCCAGGUAAAUAGGGUGCGUAAUGUCACCCCCAUUUUUGAAAGGAGAAAAUCGAGUGACUGAAAGAAUGGACUUGGGAGAUUGGUGCUCAGGUCUCCUGACGUCAGAUUGGUGCCCUUUGCACACCAACUGUGUGCUGCACGCUGCUUGUCACGUCUGGGCUGCCUGCAUCCGAAAAACUGGGCCUGACGCCAAACUUGUGAUUUACCAGCUCUUUGACCUUGGGCCCCAACUUCUCCAAGACCAUUUUCACAAGUGUGAAAGUGGAAUUGAUCAUGUCUACCCUAUAGGGCAUAUGAAUGUAGUUAUAUGACGUUAAUAUGUGAAAUGCAGUGAUAAUCUUUUAACGUCAUAGGUUCAAAAAGUCUUUUACCAUUAUGGGGGACAUUCAUACUGUUUCACUGGAUCUUUAAAACACUGUCAGUUAUGAAACAGAUGAAUGAGGUGGGAACUUGGUGUUUGCAGAGUUACCCACCUGGUUAGAAGCAGAGCUAGUUUGGAAUUCCAUCUUUGGAGUUCCAGUCCUGUGGAUGCACUUUCCAGAAUCCUAUGACAGUGGAUUUGGUGGCUCAGGUGGUAAAGAAUCUGCCUGCAAUUCAGGAGACCCAUUCGAUCCCUGGGUCAGGACGAUUCCCUGAAGAAAGGAAUGGCUGCCCACUCCAGUAUUCUUGUCUGGAGAAUUCCAUGGACAGAGAGCCUGGCAGGCUACAGUCUGUGGGAUCUCAAAGAGUUGGGCAUAACUGAGUGACUAAUACACAUACUGACAGUUUCAAUAAAGGAUUUUCAAAUACGAUCAUAACAAGCAUCAGAAUCUCUUGUCAGGUACAGGGUGUGGGCAGCCUGUGGUUUACACCCAAUCUGCCUCUUCUCCCUAGCCAUCCAGGGGCCCAAAGGGCACAGUUUGUCCCUUGAGGCUGAUUUCUGGUUGCCAGACUGUUGGGUUCUGAAAAUUCGUGAUUUUGUUAGAGAAAGCAUAGCGUGCCCCAGAACAACUUGUAAAAUGCCCUUCAUGCCUUAUCGGACUAGAAACGUGUCAACCACUUCCCCUGAUUGCCUGGGUCUGAGCCAAGCAUUUUGCCAAGUGAACAAGGAAGAUGUUUGUUACAGUGAAAGACCACAGGCUUCCUGGCUGACUUACCUCCAAUGUGAAAGUCUUUCUCUUCUGGUGUGGACUGUUUUUGUAAAAGGAUUCAGAUUUCCAUUCUACUGAUGGAGAGGAGGCUGCCAAGGGCUAAUCUAAUAUUUGGGGUUGGAAUUGCAUUUUGUAAGGAGGUGGAAGCGCUCUCCUUUUUCACCCUGCCCUCGUUUCAUUUCCGAUCAUAGAGGAGAAGGUGGGCAUUGUCCUGCAAAACCGCCUUUAGCUAUUGCUGUUCGGUCUGGCCCUUCUUUUUCAAAAGUAGCCUUGUUUGGCCUUUGCUUUCUUCCUGUCUCUUGGGAAAUGCAAUCUCCAGGCAGCACAGAGUGUUAUGUUUUGUGGUGCCCUGCAGCAAACCUCACACAUCAGAAUUUGAAAAUAACAAUCAGAUGAAAAGGCUAGGGAGUCGGGGAGGGAUCCAGGUCCAUGUGUGAGAACCCCAGAAGCCGGGAAUGACGAUGUGUGGGAUUAGCAUGAGUAAUGGAAUAGAAAGGAGCAAAUGUGAUGAGCCAGGUGUUUCGUAAUGGAAGAGGCUUGACAAGGUAUACCUGGAGAUGGAAGUUCUGUUUCUGCCCCUGGGUUGCAGACCACUCCCAUCUGCCUAGCACAAGACUGCAGAAAGUUCUCUAAAUCUUCUCAAGUUAUGUGCUUGGGUGUGGGAGUUGCUGGCAGCUGAUGGAAGACUGCCAACAGGUGAGAUUCAGGGUGGCAGAUUUUUAAUUAGGCUCUGUUCCUCUGUCCUGAUCCCCCACAAACAGGAAGGUGACAGAUGGAACAGAACACAGGGAGGCCAGAAGGAGUAGGAUCCACUUAUUAACUGUCUCACCUGGGGCAGAACUGUCUCACCUGUCUCACCUUGGCUUCUCUCUGUCUCAGCUUUCCCAUCUGUCAAAUGGGGGCUUGCUGUGAGCAUUAGGAGAGAGAAGAUACGUAAGUAUAGAGUCUGGUGUGUGUUAAUCUCUGUCAUGUCCAACUCUUUGUGACCCCAUGGAUUGUAGCCCACUAAGUUCCUCUGUCCAUGGAAUUCUCUAGACAAGAAUACUGGAAUAGUUAGCCAUUCCCUUCUCCAGGGGAUUGUCCCGAACCAGGGAUUGAACACGGGUUUCCUGCAUUGCAGGCAGAUUCUUUACUGUCUGAGUCACCAGGGAAGCCCACGGAGCCUGGUACUGGGUGCUUUAGUGAGUAAAUUAUGCUCACUAGAUGGGAGCAGCUGGUUUUUUUUGUUUGUUUGUUUGUUUUUUACUGUGGAAUUCAUCCUUUCAAGUCUUAGAUGUAGGGUUGUAUUUAGAAUGUUGAAUUAGUGUUGAAAGAAAGUUUUGCUGUGUGAGGAAGGGGGAUUGAGCUGAAUAUUUGAAAUGAUUGGGUGGGACUAGAUAGUGUAGAGUACUAUUAAUUCUGUAUCAUCAUUGAAACAACGUUAGGUUCAUUUAUCUUGGUAUAAAAAAGGAUACUGUGAGUGCAGUGAGCACAGGAAGAAUACUUCAUCAGGAAGUAUCCCUCCAGCCCACCUGCCUGAAGCGUUAUGAUGCUGAUUUCCAGCAAGCACGUGUCUCACCUACUACAUGCCAGGCAUAUUCAGAGACUGAGACACAGCCCCUAGUCCCUGAGCCAUUUGCCACGCGGCAGGCAGGUUCAGUGUGGGCUGUGUGACAGUGGGGAUUGCGGUGGAGGUGGGGGCAUGGGGGUCGGUGAGGGGAGGUGCUGCUGAGGUCUCAGGGUCAGCACCGCCUGAGCCUGGCGCUCACAAGGAGGCACUUGAUUUCCAGAUUGCCACCCUCAAUUCUGUUUUAAUGAGCAGAACCUUAAGAGGCUCUGGAAAAACAUUCACCUGGGCAAGCAGAGGCACAUGGUGGAGCCAGAUGGAUCUGCCUGGGUUUGUCCCCUAGUACAGGGAGGGGCCCCGUGUUCACAAACACCUGCUCUGCAGCAGGAAACUUCUGUGCUCCCUUUUGCCUUGUCCUCACGGGAGGCUGCUAGAAUCCUAGUUUUGUAAAAAAAAAAAAAAAAAAUUAAUAGGCCUGAGCCUCAGAGUCCUGCGUGUGCCCAAGGUCAGAAGCUGUGAUCCCAGAAAAUCUUGAGCCUCAGGACUGGAUGGCACAGGGAUGCCCUUUCCUUCUCCUCCAAGCUGGCCCUUGUCCCCAGGCCUCGCCCCUGCCUGGCUCCCAGGUGGAAGGUAUGGACUUGUCCCAUGGCUGUUGUGUGGAGUAAGAGGAAAGAGAACAGGAGGCGUGGCCCCCACCGGCCAGCAUUUUCUCCAGCCCCCUCUCUCCCUCUGACCAUGCCUGGGAAACUCCUGCCCUCCUCCCUCCUGUAAUACCUUGUCUCUGGUCCUUACUUAGACGAAGUGAGGCUGGGAAGCCUCUCAGUUACUUGAAGCACAGAGAUGCUCAGCUGGGUAGGUGAUUCCAUUUAGUUUGCUUCGGGAAAGUUUUGAAAUCCAGAGAGCUGAAUAAACAGUGGAGUAAGGUCUGACCAUUAUAGGUCCAUGGUGGAGAGGAGAUCAAAAGGGGAUUUUCUUUUUUUUUUUUUAACCAGAAGACAUCUUAGCAGCCUCUGGUCCACCCUCCUCGUUUUCAGGUGAGGAACUGUGGCUGCUCUCAGGGUCGCACAGUGUCAGAUGAGAAGUGGGACCCCUGGAUCCAGGGUGCACACCCUCUGUCAUCGUGGGGCAGAGGUAGCUCCCGAGUCACGAUGUGCCAGCUCAGUGGGCAUGGAGUUCAGGGGGAUGGCCCAUGGACCUUGAGCUGACCUCGGCUCUAGGAGUUGCAUGGUUAGAAGAAAGCCCAUUGGACAGGGACCCGGAGACUCAGGACUCCUCCCCUUCUGAGCCUCAGGGACGCCUUCCCAUUCACUUCUGGGGUGUGUAUGCUUAUUCACUGUGUGUCCUCCUUAGUCUGAUACCACAACGUGCCCCCUGAGGGUAGGAGUGCAGGCCCAGGGCAUGGGGGGCGUGGUCAGCACUGUCCAAGAAAGCACCAGCCUCCCCACCGCCCCCCCUCCCGCCCCAGUUAUUCAUAUUUCCUUCAGUUCCAGUGAGGUCUUCAUGCACACGAG